AUUGAACGCUGGCGGCAGGCAUAACACAUGCAAGUCGAACGAGUGGCGGACGGGUGAGGAAUGUCUGGGAAACUGCACGAUGGAGGGGGAUAACUACUGGAAACGGUAGCUAAUACCGCAUACCCUCGGAUGUGCCCAGAGGGGAUUAGCUUGUAGGUGAGGUAACGGCUCACCUAGGCGACGAUCCCUAGCUGGUCUGAGAGGAAGACCAGCCACACGGGAACUGAGACACGGUCCAGACUCCGACGGGAGGCAGCAGUGGGGAAUAUUGCACAAUGGGCGCAAGCAUGAUGCAGCCAUGCCGCGGGUAUGAAGAAGGCCUUCGGGUUGUAAAGUACUUUCAGCGGGGAGGCGUUACCCGCAGAAGAAGCACCGGCUAACUCCGUGCCAGCAGCCGCGGUAAUAC
rnacentral:rRNA from 1 species